rnacentral:lncRNA from 1 species
GGUAGCAGAUUGAUUAGUUAGUUGGUUAAUGAUAACAGCAUAGAAAGAAACACUACAUUAAGUUGAAAGUCAUCAAUUAAUAAGCACUGCAAAAAUGAAUUGCUAUAACAAGUGGAAAACCAGUACAUUAUACACAGGUAAAAAUGAACAUCUAUGCCCUUCAUUUUCAGCUUCUGAUGAUUCUACUUAUUUCUCCUGGUAUGAUGCGUGAAUCAACCGUUGAUAGGACUUGUGGCAUUGACAUGCCUCCCGAGACAACAAUUUCUGAAAAUUUUUAACAAAUUCAAUCAUAUGAUGAAACUAGAGAGGAAUGAAUUAUUAUCAUAACAAUGAUAAUCUGCAAUUUCCAAACAAAUAUCUGGUAUAUUAGAAGUUCAGAUUGGAGUUUCAUCAUCUAGAAACAUGUAAAUAUGAAAAAAAAAUGACUCACCAAUUCCUUCACGAACAGACAGGUUUGGUCUAAUGAUAUCUGUGGUGCUGACGAGAAAUAUAUCACCGAUAUAAAGAUGAUUUGUAGGAACAUAGACACAACAUAACUGCUCAUCUACAGAAUAGUUCUGUAAAAGAAAUAUUAUGAAAAAAAUUAAUCUUCACAUGCAAUGCUGUGUAAAAUCUUUAUAAACACGUCUAAUCAUCAAUGGUUGACCGUAAACUAGUUCCAUUCCGUCAAACUCAAAUCAUUAUAAGCUUAAAACCUUCUUCAUAACAUAAAAUCAGCUCAUGCACAAGUUAAAAAUACAAAACUUAGAAAAACAGUGAGAGCUUCUUGAAAUUAGCUUACGGAGAAAUUCACCCAAAACACCUGUACAAGUUUAAGAUACAUAAUAAUUAAAAGGGCACAUAAAAGAAGCUAGAAUCUAAAUAGAAACCAACAUAAAGGAUCAUGGAUUUCACGAAGGGCACUAAAAAGCAAUUGUAAUCACCUCAGCCAAUGAAAGAGCUCUUAUUCAUAAAUAGAUAGCCAAUAAUGUAAAAUUAUAAUUCUAUUAUUUAUCAAGGCAAGCCAACCAGGAAUUGGUUGGGCAAACUAGGCAUUAUUCAUAAAGUAAGACCAGCGAGCAUGCAUCUCAACCAUACAAUACCACAAAAAUUAUUUACUAAAUUGCUACAUCACCAUCAGAAAAUAACCAAAAUUACAUUAUAAGUAAACAUUAAACAACUAACUAAAUAGUAACAGCAAGGAAUCAUAAUGAGAAUCUGAUUCAAACAUUGAUGCAAGUAAAUGUUCUGAACCUAAAAUCUGCCAAACACCAAAGUUUUAGAGACCUGAAGGGUAACAAACGAUGUGAUGAACCCAAAUGCAUAUUCUCCAAUACGUGGAUGCCGAAUGAUGGCUACUUCUUUGAAUGCUUGUGUAUUUUGAUCUGCAAAAGUAUACACCUUAACAUAAACUGUUCUCAUCCAAUAUUUCAUUCAUACCAUUAUCAAAAUCAAGAGCUAGAUGUUGGCAAACACACACCUGGAGAGAUAGCUGCACUAAUCUGCUUGGAGGCAUUAUAAAUAUGACGAACAAGUGGCAUUCGCUUGAUAAACCACUCCCCAAGACCCAGGACAGAUGCACCCAACCAUGAUGACAUGAAAACCCCAACCAAGAAGAUGAAAGUUAUGGAAGUUAUGAAUCCAAGACCUGACCAAAGAUUAGCCAAUAAUGUCAACAUGUAAACAGUAAAAAUGUUCUAAACAAUAAAAAUAAUUAAAAGUGGUAUUGUUUCUCUAUUGGACAUUUCAACUUUAAAUAGUCCAACCUACUCGGGAAAAAAAUAGAGAAGAUAAAGAAAAAGAAUAUUAUGAAUAUAAAAUCAUUUAAUAUGCGUAAAAAAGAGAAUAAUAAAUAACCAUAAUUUUAACAGCUUUUAGUGAAAAUUUUGAUAUUUAGGAAAGCCCUGCCACGAGACAAACUAAGUUUCAAGCCAAAAAUUGAACUUUGUUAUAAUCUUUACAUAAGAUUAAUUGUCAAAUACCAUAAAACAUGAGCACUUACCAAAAACAUCAAUUCCAAGUUGAGCAUAGAUAGGAGAGAAAAAUCCAUCCACAAAAUGAAUAAACCACCACGUUAUAUAGAAGGUGAUAGCAAUUGGAAAGAGAAUGACACUGCAAAAGAACUAGCAGUGAGAUAUCGCCAAUUAUACAACAAAGAAAUGAAGAACCUUGGGAAUUUGAAAAGGACAAAGAAUGCAAUGAUCCAAACAAAAAGGUGACCAAACAUAAUUUAGUAAUCCAUAUUACAAGAAGAUAGGGUUAUACUGGACAAGAAAACUUCCUCUAGGAGCAAGUAUCCACUAUUAAAUCAUCAUCGAUGACAUAAAUACUAUCCAUUUCUCCACCAUGUUAUCCUUUAAUUUAAAUCAAAGUGAUGAGAUAGCAAUGAGAUUGUUACAUAUUUUUGUCAUACUAUGUUGAUAAUUGUUGUAAAAGAGUGCAGGAUAGUAACUGGUGUCCAGAAACUGAUUUGGAGAUCUAUGGUCUCUAGAUUAUAGAACCUAGAAUUUUCAUUCAAUUAAGAUUUGUUAGUUAAAGAAAAGUAUCAGUUGAACUCUUUGAAUAUUACUAGGAAUAUAUAUUUUCCCCUAGCAUGUUUUGUAACUUUUCGUUUGUAAUGCAACACCAUAAACAACAAGAUGCCAGCAGAAAUAAAAUGCAGACAAAAAAAAUCAAGAAAAAGAAAACGGUCUCAUCUAAGAAUACGAGGUAUGCAAAAGGAAAAUUCAUUCAGGAGGAAACAUAUACAAGAUCACAUGUAAGAGCAUGCAAUACAAAUCAUACAACCAUGUUUAUCAAGAUGUUGGGACAGAAGAACCACGCACCAUCCUGACAUGAACUUUUUUGAUGCCCAGCUUCUAAUGACUUUGGAAAAAGUCUACAAAUGACAGAAUCAACAAAAUAAAAUAGCAAUCUGUCAGACAAAUACUUAAGAAGGCGGAGCAAAUGAAAAAGCGCGAUAACUAUUAUUUGGUAUUCAAACCACAAAAAAAUAAAAAAAAUAAAACAUUCAUUCCCAAAAUAUGCAACUAAAUAAUUUCUUUUUACUUACGUAAAACUAAAUCAUUGCUCCAUUUAUAAUAACUAGCACUAGAUAGCUUCACUUCUUUCAUUGCUAGUUUUGCUACCCCUUUUUAUUUUGAAUACAAUUUGAUUUGAUGAAUCAUGCAUGAUACAAACUCAGAUUAACACCUACUUAAAUCUCCAUCCUAUUGAAGCUACAUACUGCUCUUGACAAAGAAAUUAUUGAUUCCCCAAUCCCUAAAAUGUUAAUCCCAAAAAAAAAUAAAACUCAAUUAAAGUCAAGGAAGAAACUUUCAAGUAAAUCCCAUAACCCAAUACAUUCACAAAAGACCAGAUUGAUCGAAUUGAGAAAGGAAAAAAAAGGAAGCGGAAUGAAUUGUAAUGGUUAAAAUCGAAAACCCAAAUUGAGAGAGGGUGGAUAAAGAGAUCACCUCACGUCCAGCAUGAUGCGGGGAAGACAACGACGAAGAGGACGACGAUGGCAAGGAGGAAGAGGCUGCAGGGCCUUCGACGGCGGCGACGGGGAUGAGAAGCUCUCGAUCUCUGUCCCUAGUGGUGAUGGCCAUGGUGGAUUUUUCAGCGCCCAUGAAACGACGCCGUUUGAGAACUGAACGCGAAACUCAAAACACGAAACGCAAAACCUCUUCUCUGAAAAUUUUUUUCUCUGUUGUGUCCUUUGGAGAGUUCAAAGCCUUCAAUUCACAUUUGGUCUUCACUUUCUUUAUUUCUAUCUUUUUAUUUAUUUGUUUAUAUUUUAUUUUCUUAUAAUAUGAUUUAAUUCUAUCUGUAUUUUUUGAACAUUCCAAUCUGACUUUAUGUAUACGAGUCACACCCAGUUCUAAUCAAGUCUAUUUUAAAUAAUAAUAAUAAUAAUAAUUUUGUCUCAAUUUAUCAUACAUGAAUUUCAUGUCAACAAUGAUUUAAUUUGUUUGGUUAAUGUAUAUAUGUCUAUCUACUAUCCAUUACAAUGAAAAUGUUGUCAUGUGACAUCUUUUUUAGUGUGAUGAUUUGUGUCAUUUUCUGAUUACUAAAAAAGGAAAUAUUAUUUAUCACUAUUCAUUAUAACGUAAAAAAGUUAAAAUUAAAAUAAAUUAAAGGGAUUCAGCCUCCUAGAUAAUGAUAAAUUUAAAUUUCAAAUGUGUGGAUUUUUCAAUAAAAUGAUGAAAAACUACUGAGUGGUAAAAAGUCGUGCAUGUUUGAAUUUCAAAACUGCAUUAAAACCCUAUUAAAUAAUCACUUGAUUACGUUGGAUUUCUAACAAUUGCAUUUAUUUCGGAAUCACUGUGAAAGGAGAAUUGUAGCGUUUCUAGAGAUUCUUCGUAAUUAAUUUGACAAGUACUAAUAUGAGAAAACUUUGCAUUUUCUACCUAUGUCGUUAUCUCAAAAGUAAAAAACAUGAAUAUUAUAGUAAAAAAAAUGUAUGAGAGUGUACGAUGAUAAAUCAAAUUAAUUACCAAAUUGAGUAUACUUAAGGUUAACAAUUGAAACGAUUUAACAUUAGUAAUACAUUAACCGUUUGAUCAAAGAGAUUAAAGUGAACUUUGAUAAAAUUAUAGGACGAUAUUUUGUAACUUGUUUCUUUUUGUGCAGACUCAAUCUUACAGAUAUACUGCAUGAAGUUGUAAGGCAUGAAUGAGAGCUACAAAAUUGAAUUGCUAUAACAAGUGGAGAGAACCAGUACAUUAUACACAGGUAAAAAUCCGAGAAUCCAAGCACAAUAGAAUUUUGUAUGGUUGUCAAAUAAAUGCUAAACUCUACAUUCUUACACAAACCAAUGUUACACAAGCCAUCAGAGUCUCUUUUUCUCAGCAAUCAAUCACGUAAAUUCAAUACUGGCAUCCGCAACACAAUGAUUGCAUUGUCAUUCUGAUGGCUUCAUAUGACACCAAGGAACAGAAACAUCAAUAACUACCCUGCUCUCUUCACUCUCAGCUUCUGUUGAUUCUACUUAUUUCCCCUGGUAUGAUGCGUGAAUCUACCGUUGAUAGGAUCUGUGGCAUUGACAUGCCUCCCGAAACAACAAUUU